CCGAACAGAAUUUAAUUAUAAGCGUUGUGCAUUUAAAACAAACAAAAAAAAUUGCAUCAGCAUUAGCCCUAAUGCUUUUUAUGUGAGUUGCAACCGUUAAAAUUCAUUCGUAUCAUCUCUCUUGUCUUUUCUCCUCAAACUUUCCCCAACUCUUCUCUUAUCUAGCAGCUCUGUACUUCUCCAACUCUCACUCUGUAAUAACAAACUCCAUAAAAAGUCCUUUGCAGUUUCAUCUCUUCUUCCAUUUCUUACACUCAAUCUCCCAAUAAAGGUUUCUCUUUAACCAUGGUGAUGGGAUUGGAGAGGUUGGUGGUGAGUUUGAAAUCAAAGAUAAGGUCUCUUAAGAUGAAGAAACUGUACGAUAAGAUAGAGAAAAGUGAGAGUAUGAGAGUUGAGAUCAGAAGCAGAAAGGCAAGGAAGCUCAUUGAAGAAACCAUGAAAAUUGCAGAUUCACCAAAGUCUAAAACUUAUGCUUUCUGAGUGUUCUGAAUAAACAAGAUGAGUUCUAAUUGUAAGUAAACAGAGGUAAUGCUCUGUUUUGGUGCUUUAUCAGCUGUGGUUUAUAGAAGAAUAUAAUAGUGUGUAGUUCUUUACUUGUAACAAUUUCUCUCUCAAGCCUGAACCAUCCAUAGCCUUAUCAUAAUUUAUCUGCAGAUUUUCAGUUUC